AAGCCUGAUCCAGCCAUACCGCGUGUGUGAAGAAGGCCUUCGGGUUGUAAAGCACUUUAAGCAGGGAGAAAAAGUUAUAAGCUAAUAUCUUAUGACCUUGAUGUUACCUGCAGAAUAAGCACCGGCUAAUUCCGUGCCAGCAGCCGCGGUAAUACGGAAGGUGCAAGCGUUAAUCGGAAUUACUGGGCGUAAAGCGCGCGUAGGUGGUUUGUUAAGUUGGAUGUGAAAGCCCUGGGCUCAACCUAGGAACUGCAUCCAAAACUAACUCACUAGAGUACGAUAGAGGGAGGUAGAAUUCAUAGUGUAGCGGUGGAAUGCGUAGAUAUUAUGAAGAAUACCAGUGGCGAAGGCGGCCUCCUGGAUCUGUACUGACACUGAGGUGCGAAAGCGUGGGUAGCGAACAGGAUUAGAUACCCUGGUAGUCCACGCCGUAAACGAUGACAACUAGCUGUUGGGAGACAAAGUCUUUCAGUGGCGCAGCUAACGCUUUAAGUUGUCCGCCUGGGGAGUACGGCCGCAAGGCUAAAACUCAAAUGAAUUGACGGGGACCCGCACAAGCGGUGGAGCAUGUGGUUUAAUUCGAUGCAACGCGAAAAACCUUACCUACUCUUGACAUACUUGGGAGCUCUUGUAAUGAGAGUGUGCCUUAUGGAACCAAGAUACAGGUGCUGCAUGGCUGUCGUCAGCUCGUGUCGUGAGAUGUUCCGUUAAGUCGGAUAACGAGCGCAACCCUUACCCUUAUUUGCCAGCGAUUCGGUCGGGAACUAUAAGGGGACUGCCGGUGAUAAACCGGAGGAAGGUGAGGACGACGUCAAGUCAUCAUGGCCCUUACGAGUAGGGCUACACACGUGCUACAAUGGGAAAUACAGACGGACGCUAAGCCGCGAGGUGGUGCUAAUCCUAGAAAGUUUCUCGUAGUCCGGAUUGGAGUCUGCAACUCGACUCCAUGAAGUCGGAAUCGCUAGUAAUCGCGGAUCAGCAUGCCGCGGUGAAUACGUUCUCGGGUCUUGUACACACCGCCCGUCACACCAUGGAAGUGGAUUGCACCAGAAGUAGAUAGUCUAACCUUAGGGAGGGCGUUUACCACGGUGUGCUUCAUGACUGGGGUGAAGUCGUAACAAGGUAGCCGUAGGGGAACCUGUGGCUGGAUCACCUCCUUA
rnacentral:rRNA from 1 species